rnacentral:rRNA from 1 species
AUUGAACGCUGGCGGCAUGCCUUACACAUGCAAGUCGAACGGCAGCACGGGAGCAAUCCUGGUGGCGAGUGGCGAACGGGUGAGUAAUAUAUCGGAACGUGCCCAGUCGUGGGGAUAACGUAGCGAAAGCUACGCUAAUACCGCAUACGAUCUAUGGAUGAAAGCGGGGGAUCGCAAGACCUCGCGCGAUUGGAGCGGCCGAUAUCAGAUUAGGUAGUUGGUGAGGUAAGGGCUCACCAAGCCGACGAUCUGUAGCUGGUCUGAGAGGACGACCAGCCACACUGGGACUGAGACACGGCCCAGACUCCUACGGGAGGCAGCAGUGGGAAUUUUGGACAAUGGGCGCAAGCCUGAUCCAGCAAUGCCGCGUGCAGGAUGAA